UGCCUAACUUGGAUUCUAGGAACUUAACCCUGCUCCUCUGAAAGAGCAAUGAACACACUCAAGCUCGUUUGUUAUAUUACUGAGUAUCUUAGUUCAUUUUGUGCUGCUGUAACAGAAUAUCAGAGGGUGAGUAAGUCACAUAUAUGUGCUUCUUGCAGUUCUAAAGGCUGAAUCCAAGAUCAAGGGCCCAUACUGGGUAGGGAGCUUAUGCUGUGUCAUCCAUUAUAGAGUGCAAUGGAAGCUUCAUUCAAUCUCCCAUCUAAAGAGGUUCGUCUUUCCCUGGGUAUAUUAAAGCUCCCACUUGGAUGAUGAGAAACCUGACAGAUUCCAUCAAGAAGUAAAAUCCACCCCAUCUACAUCUGAGGAAUGUUCAAAGAUCAAGAGUUUUCUACCAAAACUUUAUCAGAAUUAUUAAUAAAAUAAUUUGCAUAGUU